UACGUAGGUGGCAAGCGUUAUCCGGAUUUACUGGGUGUAAAGGGCGUGUAGGCGGGAGAGCAAGUCAGACGUGAAAUUCCAGGGCUCAACCCUGGAACUGCGUUUGAAACUGUUCUUCUUGAGUGAUGGAGAGGCAGGCGGAAUUCCUGGUGUAGCGGUGAAAUGCGUAGAUAUCAGGAGGAACACCGGUGGCGAAAGCGGCCUGCUGGACUGCAACUGACGUUGAGGCCCGAAAGCGUGGGGAGCAAACAGG
rnacentral:rRNA from 1 species